rnacentral:lncRNA from 1 species
AAAAAGAGAAGGCGAAGCCAGUAUCAUAUUCAUAUUCGUUUUUCCACAUCAUCUUCUCUCUUGCUAGUAUGUACUCGGCAAUGCUUCUGACAGGGUGGACAACCUCAGUUGGGGAGAGCGGGAAGUUGGUUGACGUUGGGUGGCCAUCUGUGUGGGUGAGGAUUGUGACUAGUUGGGCAACUGCAGGUCUGUUCAUCUGGUCUCUUUUGGCUCCUAUUCUGUUCCCCGAGAGGGAAUUCUGAACCCCGCCGCCACCAAACUAGAGAUAAACGGGUUUGCUCAUCAGUGUCUCAAGUAUAUUUAUUGUGUGUAUGCAUCUUCUGUUGUACUUAAAA